GUUGUAUAGUCAAGUAAUUAAGUGCAUGUGGUGGAUGCCUUGGCAGUCAGAGGCGAUGAAAGACGUGAUAGCCUGCGAAAAGCUCCGGGGAGGCGGCAAAUAUCCUUUGAUCCGGAGAUGUCUGAAUGGGGGAACCCACCUACUUUAAGGUAGGUAUUGCAACAUGAAUACAUAGUGUUGCAAGGCGAACGAGGGGAAGUGAAACAUCUCAGUACCCUUAGGAAAAGAAAUCAAUUGAGAUUCCCUCAGUAGCGGCGAGCGAACGGGGAUCAGCCCAUUAAGUUAUGUGUGUUUUAGUGGAACGCUCUGGGAAGUGCGAACGUAGAGGGUGAUAUUCCCGUACACGAAAGGGCACACAUAAUGAUGACGAGUAGGGCGAGGCACGUGAAACCUUGUCUGAAUAUGGGGGGACCAUCCUCCAAGGCUAAAUACUCCUGACUGACCGAUAGUGAACCAGUACCGUGAGGGAAAGGCGAAAAGAACCCCUGUGAGGGGAGUGAAAUAGAUCCUGAAACCGCAUGCAUACAAGCAGUGGGAGCACCUUCGUGGUGUGACUGCGUACCUUUUGUAUAAUGGGUCAGCGACUUAUAUUCAGUAGCAAGGUUAACCGUAUAGGGGAGCCGUAGAGAAAUCGAGUCUUAAUAGGGCGUUUAGUUGCUGGGUAUAGACCCGAAACCAGGCGAUCUAUCCAUGAGCAGGUUGAAGGUUGGGUAACACUAACUGGAGGACCGAACCCACUGUCGUUGAAAAGCCAGGGGAUGACUUGUGGAUAGGGGUGAAAGGCUAAUCAAGCCUGGUGAUAGCUGGUUCUCCCCGAAAGCUAUUUAGGUAGCGCCUCGGACGAAUACCAUAGGGGGUAGAGCACUGUUUCGGCUAGGGGGUCAUCCCGACUUACCAAACCGAUGCAAACUCCGAAUACCUAUGAGUACUAUCCGGGAGACAGACUGCGGGUGCUAACGUCCGUAGUCAAGAGGAAAACAAUCCAGACCGCCAGCUAAGGCCCCAAAAUCAUAGUUAAGUGGGAAACGAUGUGGGAAGGCAUAGACAGCUAGGAGGUUGGCUUAGAAGCAGCCACCCUUUAAAGAAAGCGUAAUAGCUCACUAGUCGAGUCGGCCUGCGCGGAAGAUGUAACGGGGCUAAAACUAUGUGCCGAAGCUGCGGAUNNNNNNNNNNNNNNNNNNNNNNNNNNNNNNNUGCUGGAGGUAUCAGAAGUGCGAAUGCUGACGUGAGUAACGACAAAACGGGUGAAAAACCCGUUCGCCGAAAGACCAAGGGUUCCAGUCCAACGUUAAUCGGGGCUGGGUGAGUCGACCCCUAAGGCGAGGCCGAAAGGCGUAGUCGAUGGGAAAAUGGUUAAUAUUCCAUUACUUCUGUGUAAUGCGAUGAGAGGACGGAGAAGGCUAAAUCAGCCUGGCGUUGGUUGUCCAGGUGAAAGGAUGUAGGCAUGUAUCUUAGGCAAAUCCGGGGUACUCUAUGCUGAGAUCUGAUAGCAAGCUGUACUUGUACAGCGAAGUGGUUGAUGCCAUGCUUCCAGGAAAAGUCUCUAAGCUUCAGUUACACAGGAAUCGUACCCGAAACCGACACAGGUGGUCAGGUCGAGUAGACCAAGGCGCUUGAGAGAACUCUGCUGAAGGAACUAGGCAAAAUGGUACCGUAACUUCGGGAGAAGGUACGCUGUUGUUGGUGAUGGAACUCGCUUCCUGAGCUGACGACAGCCGCAGAAACCAGGCCGCUGCAACUGUUUAUUAAAAACAUAGCACUCUGCAAACACGAAAGUGGACGUAUAGGGUGUGAUGCCUGCCCGGUGCUGGAAGGUUAAUUGAUGGGGUUAGCGUAAGCGAAGCUCUUGAUCGAAGCCCCAGUAAACGGCGGCCGUAACUAUAACGGUCCUAAGGUAGCGAAAUUCCUUGUCGGGUAAGUUCCGACCUGCACGAAUGGCAUAAUGAUGGCGGCGCUGUCUCCAGCAGAGGCUCAGUGAAAUCGAAAUCGCUGUGAAGAUGCAGUGUACCCGCGGCUAGACGGAAAGACCCCGUGAACCUUUACUGCAGCUUGACACUGAACUUUGACCUUACUUGUGUAGGAUAGGUGGGAGGCUUUGAAGCUGGAACGCUAGUUCCAGUGGAGCCGUCCUUGAAAUACCACCCUGGUAAUGUUGAGGUUCUAACUCUGUCCCGUGAUCCGGGACGAGGACCGUGUCUGGUGGGUAGUUUGACUGGGGCGGUCUCCUCCUAAAGAGUAACGGAGGAGUACGAAGGUGCGCUCAGCGUGGUCGGAAAUCACGCGUAGAGUAUAAAGGCAAAAGCGCGCUUAACUGCGAGACCCACAAGUCGAGCAGGUACGAAAGUAGGUCUUAGUGAUCCGGUGGUUCUGUAUGGAAGGGCCAUCGCUCAACGGAUAAAAGGUACUCUGGGGAUAACAGGCUGAUACCGCCCAAGAGUUCAUAUCGACGGCGGUGUUUGGCACCUCGAUGUCGGCUCAUCUCAUCCUGGGGCUGAAGCAGGUCCCAAGGGUAUGGCUGUUCGCCAUUUAAAGAGGUACGCGAGCUGGGUUUAGAACGUCGUGAGACAGUUCGGUCCCUAUCUACCGUGGGCGCUGGAAAUUUGAGAGGAUCUGCUCCUAGUACGAGAGGACCAGAGUGGACGAACCUCUGGUGUACCGGUUGUGACGCCAGUCGCAUCGCCGGGUAGCUAUGUUCGGAAGGGAUAACCGCUGAAAGCAUCUAAGCGGGAAGCCUACCUCAAGAUAAGAUUUCCCUAGGACUUUAUGUCCUCUAAAGAGCCGUUCGAGACUAGGACGUUGAUAGGUUGGAUGUGGAAGCAUAGUGAUAUGUGAAGCUGACCAAUACUAAUUGCUCGUGAGGCUUGACUAUACAACACCCAAGCAGUUG
rnacentral:rRNA from 1 species